rnacentral:rRNA from 1 species
AGAACGAACGCUGGCGGCAUGCCUAACACAUGCAAGUCGAACGAGACCUUCGGGUCUAGUGGCGCACGGGUGCGUAACGCGUGGGAAUCUGCCCUUGGGUACGGAAUAACAGUGAGAAAUUACUGCUAAUACCGUAUGAUGUCUUCGGACCAAAGAUUUAUCGCCAAGGGAUGAGCCCGCGUUGGAUUAGCUAGUUGGUGGGGUAAAGGCCUACCAAGGCGACGAUCCAUAGCUGGUCUGAGAGGAUGAUCGGCCACACUGGGACUGAGACACGGCCCAGACUCCUACGGGAGGCAGCAGUGGGGAAUAUUGGACAAUGGGCGAAAGCCUGAUCCAGCAAUGCCGCGUGAGUGAAGAAGGCCUUAGGGUUGUAAAGCUCUUUUACCCGGGAAGAUAAUGACUGUACCGGGAGAAUAAGCCCCGGCUAACUCCGCGCCAGCAGCCGC